AUUCCGGUUGAUCCUGCCGGAGGCCAUUGCUCUUGGGGUCCGAUUUAGCCAUGCUACCCGCACGGGUGCAGACCCGCGUGACAAAGCUCAGUAGCAGGAGGCCAAUAUACCCUCCGAGAUCAGAACACCAUCGGCCAAACGGAGGCCAAUUCCCGCAUACGGCUCCCGACCGUGGAAGGGAGGGAGUCAGAAACGCUCCGGCGCCGGAGGAUGAGGCUGCGGCCGAUCAGGUUGACGGUGGGGUAAUGGCCCACCGUGCCGAUAAUCGGUCUGGGUCAUGAGAGUGAGAACCCAGAGACGGAUUCUGAGACAAGAUUCCGGGCCCUACGGGGCGCAGCAGGCGCGAAACCUUUACACUGCACGCCAGUGCGAUAAGGGGACCCCAAGUGCUCAGGCAUAGUGCCUGAGCUUUUCUGGACUGUAGGGCGGUCCAGGAACAAGGGCUGGGCAAGACCGGUGCCAGCCGCCGCGGUAAUACCGGCAGCCCAAGUGAUGGCC
rnacentral:rRNA from 1 species